GACGAACGCUGGCGGCGUGCUUAACACAUGCAAGUCGAACGAAGAGCGAUGGAAGCUUGCUUCUAUCAAUCUUAGUGGCGAACGGGUGAGUAACGCGUAAUCAACCUGCCCUUCAGAGGGGGACAACAGUUGGAAACGACUGCUAAUACCGCAUACGAUCUAAUCUCGGCAUCGAGGAUAGAUGAAAGGUGGCCUCUACAUGUAAGCUAUCACUGAAGGAGGGGAUUGCGUCUGAUUAGCUAGUUGGAGGGGUAACGGCCCACCAAGGCGAUGAUCAGUAGCCGGUCUGAGAGGAUGAACGGCCACAUUGGGACUGAGACACGGCCCAGACUCCUACGGGAGGCAGCAGUGGGGAAUCUUCCGAAAUGGACGAAAGUCUGACGGAGCAACGCCGCGUGAGCGAUGACGGCCUUCGGGUUGUAAAGCUCUGUUAAUCGGGACGAAAGGCCUUCUUGCGAAUAGUGAGAAGGAUUGACGGUACCGGAAUAGAAAGCCACGGCUAACUACGUG
rnacentral:rRNA from 1 species